CAAGUUUCAAUUUUGUUCUGGUCGGUUUAUUUUGUUCAGAGUUAUGGUCCUUGGAAUAAGAUAAUUCAUUCAAAUAAUCAGUUUAUCACACUGUUUUAUGCAUGCUUGAAGAUAUUAAUUUGAAAAUUGCUAAAUAGUUUUCAUGACGCAGAUCAAGAUAUUCCGGUCUGCCUGUCUGAUGAUUUUUGCAGAGUUGUGGCUAGAAUUUUGUUCAAAUACAAUGAAAUUUUAACCAGUAGAGGACUAUGUAUUGUUAUUAAAAACACAUAGAAUGCUUGUUAUUUUUUCAUAUUUUCUGAUAUAUGACAGAACAGUGUUCAGAAGGAUGUGCCUGGUAAAGACUGGUGUUUGUUAUCUCGUGAAUAUCAUCAGUUGAUAUGUUAUUCAUCCAAAUUAUAAAAUAUCUAC
rnacentral:lncRNA from 1 species